UUUAGGUAGUCCGGUACCAAAGUACAGUGAGUUGCUUGCUAGUCACAGGUUGCGAUCUCAGGUCAGAGGGCCAAACUUAUACCCAUAUCCACUCGGAACAUCUCUUGACAGUAGAGCGUUCCGGAAUUGGUCACGUUCAGUGAAAUGUACUCCUACACUUCACCUGUAUGGCGUACCAGUGUCUCCACACUCCUUAGUUAAGAGGACAACCAACGUAUAUGUCACACAAUGACCUAAUCUCGAUAGUUGUCGUCCUAGUAACAACAUAUCAUUUGGUCGCGAACAAGUUUAAGGACUCAAAGGUAAAUCCUCCUU
rnacentral:lncRNA from 1 species